AUGUCCCCGGAGACGCGGGAGAAGAGCCCUCUCUUGUCCAGCGGGAAGCGCUGCAGGAAGGCCUCGUCGGGCGAGCGAGCGACGGACUCGCCGGAGACGCGGACGCGGCCGAGGAAGACGUGGGGGCGGAGUGCGUUGUGGUCGUUGAGGCUGCGGUCGUGCUGUACAGACACGUCGACGGUGAGGGCGGCGAGGCGGGAUGGGUCGCGCACGUCGAAGACGAGCGUCUCGUUCCACUGCGGGGAGAGGUCGCCGGGGCGGGUGGCCGUGCGCUGGCGCUGCCCGUCGAACUCCACCUCCACGAACGCGUUGCAUGAGGACGCGCCGUCCUUGGCCGACAGCUCCGCCGCGUCCGCGACCUCCACGGCAAGCUUCAUCGUGUCACCGUCCGUGGGCUGUGAGGUAUGGAUGUUUAUGUGCUAUAGGAUGGCCGGGGUUUGGGAGAACGGCCGGCCAUGGGUGCUCUGCUCUGCUCUGGCUGGGUUGGUAGGUGCUCUGCUUUGGGAAAGAAGUGAAGACGAAGGGCGCGUGUGUCGUAAUAGUGCCCCGCUAUUUAUAAUACCGAUAAUCUUGAGGGGUUGCUAG
rnacentral:rRNA from 1 species